GGGGAUAUAGCUUAGUGGUAGACUUACUUGCUUAAAAUGCAUGAAGCCCUGGGUUUGAUCCUCAGUAACACCG
rnacentral:tRNA from 1 species